CACCCAGUUCUAGAAUCAAGCAUUUAAGGGUUUGUUUAUUCCCGAAUCGCCAACAAAUUCGUAUUUAAGUCUUCCAAAUCUCUAACCCUAUCAUGCAUUCCUCCAUUUUUUUCCCAAUUCCAAAAUCAAGCAUAUGUAAAGUUUACUGCUGCCAAAAGAAUUGUUGCAGAGGAGACCAAAGUCCAGAAACUCUUUUUCUUUUGUGCUUCCACAACUGAUUUCUCCAUUACCUCAACUUUCAGCUUCAAAUCUUAAGCUACUG